AUGCAGUUCUCGCUUUCCAACAAGCGGACUUCCAAGGAGGCUUGGGACGCCAUCACCGUGGCAUGCAUCGGCAGCAACCGUGCUCGCAAGUCCACCCUGCAGGCACUUCGUAAGGAGUGGGAGAGCCUGGGCUUCAAGCCAGGUGAGGAUGUUGAUGACUUUGCUCUCCGUCUCAACACUCUGCUCCAGAAGAUGGUGAAGUUUGGCGAUGCCACCUACACCGAGGAGAGAGCUGUCGAGAAGCUCUCUCGGUGCAUUCCCGAGAAGUACAAGCAGAUGGCUCGCUCGAUCGAGAUUUGCUGGACCUCUCCACGAUGA
rnacentral:rRNA from 1 species